GUAGGUGGCAAGCGUUGUCCGGAUUUACUGGGCGUAAAGAGCGCGCAGGCGGUCGAUUUAGUCGUGUGUGAAAGCCCCCGGCUCAACUGGGGAGGGUCACGCGAUACUGAUCGACUCGAAGGCAGGAGAGGGUAGUGGAAUUCCCGGUGUAGUGGUGAAAUGCGUAGGUAUCGGGAGGAACACCAGUGGCGAAGGCGACUACCUGGCCUGUUCUUGACGCUGAGGCGCGAAGGCUAGGGGAGCAAACGGGAUUAGAUACCCCGGUAGUCCUAGCCGUAAACGAUGGACACUAGGUGUUGGUGGUAUCAACCCCGCCAGUGCCGAAGCUAACGCAUUAAGUGUCCCGCCUGGGGAGUACGGCCGCAAGGCUA
rnacentral:rRNA from 1 species